AGCUUCAUGGCCUAAUUCCCUGAUCCUCCAACCAGGAGGCCUCCCCAGGCCUGAAAGAAGUGUUUGUAAAGGUUCUUUGGAGAUGAGGCCACUUCCGCAUCGCUAACGAGUUCCAAGGAUUCUCAUGCACGGUAAAGUUGAAGAAUCACUGUUCUCCACGAUUUUGUGUCUGUACCGGAGGAGUUGGCUCAGAGAUGAAGAAGUAACUGGAACAGAAUCAUCUGGCAAAAUCAACUGAGAAAAAUGGAAAAAAAGGGUUAAAGAGAGACCUUUUGGGAGGAGUUUGAAGGGGGAAUGUCCUUGACUAUGUGGAAGAAAACUGAGGAUGGUAAAGUGUUCACUGGAAGUGACAUGGGG